UACAGAGGGUGCGAGCGUUGUUCGGAAUUAUUGGGCGUAAAGGGCGCGUAGGCGGUGCGGUAAGUCACUUGUGAAAUCUCCUGGCUCAACUGGGAGCUUGCAGGCGAAACUGCCGUGCUGGAGUGUGGGAGAGGUGCGUGGAAUUCCCGGUGUAGCGGUGAAAUGCGUAGAUAUCGGAAGGAACACCAGUGGCGAAAGCGGCUUCCUGGUCCAGCACCGACGUUCAGGCACGAAAGCGUGGGGAGCAAACAGG
rnacentral:rRNA from 1 species